AUUAAUAACUAGGGGUGCUGAUAUAUCAGCUGAGAUUGGAAAAAGUGAUUUCCUAGACCCUUAUAACCUGAUUUGGCUAGUACCAACGGAGGGAAGGAUAUAUAUAAGACAA
rnacentral:ncRNA from 2 species